UACGAAGGGGGCUAGCGUUGUUCGGAAUCACUGGGCGUAAAGGGCGCGUAGGCGGCUUGAUCAGUCGGGGGUGAAAGCCUGUGGCUCAACCACAGAAUUGCCUUCGAUACUGUCUGGCUUGAGACCGGAAGAGGUAAGUGGAACUGCGAGUGUAGAGGUGAAAUUCGUAGAUAUUCGCAAGAACACCAGUGGCGAAGGCGGCUUACUGGUCCGGUUCUGACGCUGAGGCGCGAAAGCGUGGGGAGCAAAC
rnacentral:rRNA from 1 species